AAACCAUGAAUCAUGCAUUUAUACAGCAAAUCCUUGAAAUGCUCCCAAGCUUCAUAAGGUUCUCAUCCCUCAAUUGAUUGAAUAAUGUGAGAUCAUUCCUCAACUU